UGAGAUUCUGUGGCCCAAAAGUAAUGUUAAACUAGAGAGAGAGGUUAUGUAUUCUCUCACUAAACAAAUAGUGACCAUACAAAGCCACUCUUCAAAUCACAUAGCUAUCCAAUUUCAUCCACACCUCAGCACUGAGACACAAUCCCAAUCCUAUUAUCAUUUUUGUCUCUUAAUAAAAUAAUAUAAUGUACAAUCUUCAAAGCACACGACACCACCAAAACAUUCUCUUACUUUGUUCUCUAUAAGGCUGCAAGAAACUAUAUAGCUUCUACAUAUUUAUGUUAAAACCAUUUUUCUCAGCUCAUCACACAAAAGAGAAGCAACCAAGAAGAUUCUUAGGUACUUAUUUCUACUUUUAUUUUUCGAUUUAGUCACCUACUUCACUUUUCUUUUCUUUUUAUUUUGAUUUUACGAAUAGCCGCAGUCGCUACCUUCGAUGCACAUUGUUGGAAAUUUGGUGUUGGGCAAAACCAUAAUUAUAUAUGAUGUUUCAUUUGAAUUUAACAUAAAUCAAUUAUAGAUAUAGAAUCUACCUUUCAAGUAGAUAACUCUAGAAUAUUUACUUGUUCUAAUUCAAUUUCGAAUUAAUGAGCAAUUAAUAUACGAAGAUUAUACAUUGCCUUCGGUGUACACUUAAUAAACUCACAUUCGUGUGCAAUAACACUCACACGUACUUCACUUUAUUAAUACACUCGAUGCUUAUAAUAAUUUUUUGUGCAUGAGGUAGUUUUAAAUUUUUUUAAGUAUAUAUUUUUCUAAUGUAUAGAAAGGUUUACAUAUCAAAACCAGUAAUUCUAGUGUAUGGGAAUUCAAUUUUUCUCAAGUACUACUUAACUAUUGAGUUACUAUUUGAUGCAUUUCCAACCAAAAAAUAAGAUAUUUUUAUAGAGUUGAGGAGAAAUGACGCAUUGCUACAUUUUUUUUAUUAAAACAUGAAUAUUAAUGAUUUAAUUUUGUGCAGAGAGAGAUUGAAAUGGCUGCAAAAUUGAAGAAAUGCAUGAUGCUAUGCUGCACCCGCAAACCUGUGGUAAUUAAUCAGCCCACCUAAUAUGGGCCUAUAUGGGCCUCCAGCCCACUUUGUUAUUCUCAACCUUUACUACCAUUUUAAUUUUUUUUUAAUUAUACCAUUAAUUUGGGAAAUAACAAAAGAUAAAAAGAAAUGAAUCCGAAUUAUUUAUUUAGUUAAGCAACUCAAAAGUCAAUGACGGAUAGAGUCUACUUCUCACUUUCUUUAUUAGUAAAAUUCUAGUACACUCUAUUUAUAAAGACAAAUAAAAAUACUUUCUACAAAAACUUUAUCUCUAAAUUAUUAAUACUAAUAAUGUAAUAGAAAAACAUUGUCCAGUCACAUUCUAUCAGCUAGCCAAAGGCCCAAAGGCUAAGGGGCCGUUUGAUAGCUGAGUAGAACCCUUGUUGUUUAGUUAUCAAGAGUGAAAUUGCUGAUUGGUAGCAUUUUUUCGGCACAACGGAGGCCCGUUCUACAAGGCGUGGCCCGCCCUUAUUCACUAUUCCAUCUCUUUAAUGAAACCCAAGGGGGGCAUCGGUUCCAUUUCCUUGAAUGCUACAGUGAUCCAUUUUAUUUUUCCUAAUGUCCAUUUUGCCCCUGAAAUUAUUUCAAAACUUUUAUUUUUGAAAUUAAUGUGGGGUUAAAAGGGUAAUUUCAUCCAGUUAGCCGACUUUUCGUACAUAGCUGUCAGCAAGUAACUUUUGUUAUACAAAGUUUAUAAAUUGCUAACAAACACCAGAAUCAAUAUACUAAAAGUCGGCUAACUGGAUGAACAAAUAAGAGAACCCCUCUGGGUGUGGCAGAG
rnacentral:lncRNA from 1 species